rnacentral:rRNA from 1 species
GAUGAACGCUGGCGGCGUGCUUAACACAUGCAAGUCGAACGGAAAGGCUCCUGCUUGCAGGGGUACUCGAGUGGCGAACGGGUGAGUAACACGUGGGUGAUCUGCCCUGCACUUCGGGAUAAGCCUGGGAAACUGGGUCUAAUACCGGAUAGGACGAUGGUUUGGAUGCCAUUGUGGAAAGUUUUUCGGUGUGGGAUGAGCUCGCGGCCUAUCAGCUUGUUGGUGGGGUAAUGGCCUACCAAGGCGUCGACGGGUAGCCGGCCUGAGAGGGGGUACGGCCACAUUGGGACUGAGAUACGGCCCAGACUCCUACGGGAGGCAGCAGUGGAGAAUAUUGCACAUUGGGCGCAAGCCUGAUGCAGCGACGCCGCGUGGGGGAUGACGGCCUUCGGGUUGUAAACUCCUUUCGCUAGGGACGAAGCGCAAGUGACGGUACCUGGAGAAGAAGCACCGGCUAACUACGUG